GGGGCAGCGCCAGCAGCGAGCGGUAGAUCUGGCACUGGUAGAUGCCGGUGCUGUGCCACACGCACUCCAUCCACAGCCCCUUCAGGUGCAAGAAUAAGCCUCCUGUUCAAGACGUUUUCCCUGGAAGGCCAGAUGAGGAAGGGAUGACAGCAGAAAUGUGGCCGGCCUGCCCUUCCCAAGCACCCCCCAGCCCCACCAAGGGCAAUCCAGAGCCCCCAUUUCUGAUCUGUCAGCACUUACCACGCCCCUUUGAAAAGUUCUACCGUAUGCCUGCCCUUAAACACUUCUGCUGCAUUUGAAUCUCA